GCUCUUUAACGAGGAAUCCCUAGUAAGCACAAGUCAUUAGCUUGUGCUGAUUACGUCCCUGCCCUUUGUACACACCGCCCGUCGCUACUACCGAUUGAAUGGCUUAGUGAGGCCUUCGGAUUGAGAUUCGGAGUUUGGCAACAGACCCUGGGUUUUGAAAAGUUGGUCAAACUUGGUCAUUUAGAGGAAGUAAAAGUCGUAACAAGGUUUCCGUAGGUGAACCUGCGGAAGGAUCAUUACCAAUUUUAGCGAACCUAACCCUUUGGGUUAUGGUCUCGCGGAAAUCUUGUAUUUAAAACCCCACUCUUUAUAAAAAUUGAAUCUAUUAUAUAUAAAUAAUAAAGAUCACUUUCAACAACGGAUCUCUUGGCUCUCGCAUCGAUGAAGAACGUAGCGAAGUGCGAUAAGUAAUGUGAAUUGCAGAAUUCCGUGAAUCAUCGAAUUUUUGAACGCAAAUUGCACUCUCUGGCAACCCGGGGAGUAUGCCUGUUUGAGGGUCAGUAUAAUUAAAAAAUCGGUGCGUUGCAAUUAUUUUUGUGACGUUUCCGGAGUUUGGGUUACCUUAACCUCUUUUGGUUAAGAGACCUAAAAUUGAUAUCUUUUGCGCAUUUUUAGACGUACAUAAAUUUUUUUUUAUUCGCCUAAUUUUUAAUGCCAAAAUCUAUUAGGUGCGACCAUGUGUAUGGUUACGUGUCUAUAAUUUUUCAUAAUUGACCUCAAAUCAGGUAAGGUACCCGCUGACUUAAGCAUAUCAAUAAGCGGAGAAAAGAAAAUAACAAUGAUUCCCCUAGUAACUGCGAGUGAAGAGGGAUAAGCUCAAAUUUUACAUCCGUAGGUUUUACCUGACCGAGUUGUAAUUUGAAGAGGCGUUUUCUGAGGUUCUGAUCAGUCCAAGUCCUUUGGGAUAAGGCAUCACGGAGGGUGAGAAUCCCGUUCGGUUGAUCAGAUCUUCUUUACGAUACGUUAUCAAAGAGUCAAGUUGUUUGGGAAUGCAGCUUAAAAUGGGAGGUAAAUUUCUCCUAAGGCUGAAUAACGGCGAGAGACCGAUAGCGAACAAGUACCGUGAGGGAAAGAUGAAAAGAACUUUGAAAAGAGAGUUAAAUAGUACGUGAAAUUGUUGAAAGGGAAACGAUUGAAGCCAGUCGUACUGGCGGGCAAUCAGCCUUUUGGGUAUGAUUAUGUGGGGCUUGAGGAGUUAAUCACCCUCAUCUUUGCAUAUUUGUGCACUUUGGAUGUACUUGCUCGUGUGGUAGGUUAACAUCAAUUUUAGUCAUCAUAAAAUGGCUGGAGGAAUGUAGCUUCGAUCUCGUAUUGAAGUGUUAUAGCCUUUGGUAGACGUGAUGAUUGGGAUUGAGGAUUGCAACGGAUACCCUUCGGGCUACCCGUUUGAUCUUUGGAAGUUGCUUUGGUGCUGAAAGCUUGCUUAUGGUAUCAAAGUUGACGUUUAAUAGGUUAGAAUGGGUUAAAUUCGUUAAGGAUGUUGACGUAAUGGCUUUAAACGACCCGUCUUGAAACCCGGACCAAGGAGUUUAACAUAUAUGCGAGUGUU
rnacentral:rRNA from 1 species